GGGUUGUGAGGUUAAGCGACUAAGCGUACACGGUGGAUGCCCUGGCAGUCAGAGGCGAUGAAGGACGUGCUAAUCUGCGAUAAGCGUCGGUAAGGUGAUAUGAACCGUUAUAACCGGCGAUUUCCGAAUGGGGAAACCCAGUGUGUUUCGACACACUAUCAUUAACUGAAUCCAUAGGUUAAUGAGGCGAACCGGGGGAACUGAAACAUCUAAGUACCCCGAGGAAAAGAAAUCAACCGAGAUUCCCCCAGUAGCGGCGAGCGAACGGGGAGCAGCCCAGAGCCUGAAUCAGUGUGUGUGUUAGUGGAAGCGUCUGGAAAGGCGCGCGAUACAGGGUGACAGCCCCGUACACAAAAAUGCACAUGCUGUGAGCUCGAUGAGUAGGGCGGGACACGUGGUAUCCUGUCUGAAUAUGGGGGGACCAUCCUCCAAGGCUAAAUACUCCUGACUGACCGAUAGUGAACCAGUACCGUGAGGGAAAGGCGAAAAGAACCCCGGCGAGGGGAGUGAAAAAGAACCUGAAACCGUGUACGUACAAGCAGUGGGAGCACGCUUAGGCGUGUGACUGCGUACCUUUUGUAUAAUGGGUCAGCGACUUAUAUUCUGUAGCAAGGUUAACCGAAUAGGGGAGCCGAAGGGAAACCGAGUCUUAACUGGGCGUUAAGUUGCAGGGUAUAGACCCGAAACCCGGUGAUCUAGCCAUGGGCAGGUUGAAGGUUGGGUAACACUAACUGGAGGACCGAACCGACUAAUGUUGAAAAAUUAGCGGAUGACUUGUGGCUGGGGGUGAAAGGCCAAUCAAACCGGGAGAUAGCUGGUUCUCCCCGAAAGCUAUUUAGGUAGCGCCUCGUGAAUUCAUCUCCGGGGGUAGAGCACUGUUUCGGCAAGGGGGUCAUCCCGACUUACCAACCCGAUGCAAACUGCGAAUACCGGAGAAUGUUAUCACGGGAGACACACGGCGGGUGCUAACGUCCGUCGUGAAGAGGGAAACAACCCAGACCGCCAGCUAAGGUCCCAAAGUCAUGGUUAAGUGGGAAACGAUGUGGGAAGGCCCAGACAGCCAGGAUGUUGGCUUAGAAGCAGCCAUCAUUUAAAGAAAGCGUAAUAGCUCACUGGUCGAGUCGGCCUGCGCGGAAGAUGUAACGGGGCUAAACCAUGCACCGAAGCUGCGGCAGCGACACUAUGUGUUGUUGGGUA
rnacentral:rRNA from 1 species